rnacentral:rRNA from 1 species
CUCGUAGGCGGUUCGUCGCGUCCGGUGUGAAAGUCCAUCGCCUAACGGUGGAUCUGCGCCGGGUACGGGCGGGCUGGAGUGCGGUAGGGGAGACUGAAUUCCCGGUGUAACGGUGGAAUGUGUAGAUAUCGGGAAGAACACCAAUGGCGAAGGCAGGUCUCUGGGCCGUUACUGACGCUGAGGAGCGAAAGCGUGGGGAGCGAACA